rnacentral:rRNA from 1 species
GCCCUACGGGAGGCAGCAGUAGGGAAUCUUCCACAAUGGACGAAAGUCUGAUGGAGCAACGCCGCGUGAGUGAAGAAGGGUUUCGGCUCGUAAAGCUCUGUUGGUAGUGAAGAAAGAUAGAGGUAGUAACUGGCCUUUAUUUGACGGUAAUUACUUAGAAAGUCACGGCUAACUACGUGCCAGCAGCCGCGGUAAUACGUAGGUGGCAAGCGUUGUCCGGAUUUAUUGGGCGUAAAGCGAGUGCAGGCGGUGCAAAAAAGCUGAUGGGGAAAACUUCGG